rnacentral:sRNA from 1 species
CGGCCUGGGGCACCGGGGCUGCCAGCGUCGGAGGAGGCCUGAGAACUGGGAGGAAGCUGGAGAAAAGAUGCCCUCUGAAUCUUUGUGUUUGGCUGCCCAGGCUCGCCUUGACACCGAAUGGUUGAAAACAGAUAUACAGAUGAUAGUGUCGAACCAAGUGGAACAAAGAAAGAAGAUCUGAAUGACAAAGAGAAAAAAGAUGAAGACGAAACUCCUGCACCUGUAUAUAGGGCCAAGUCAAUUCUGGAGACCUGGGUGUGGGUCAAGCAACCAGGUAAUCUUCUGAGUUUUGACACUUUGGAAAGCUUGAUCUGACGCUCCUUUUCUAAAUAACUUGGAUGGAUUAUUCGUAUUUUUUGGUAACAAUUUUAAAAAAUGUAAUUAAAAAAAUUUAAAUAUCGUGGUAAAAUAUACAUACCGUAAAACUUGC